GACGAACGCUGGCGGCGUGCUUAACACAUGCAAGUCGAACGUGAUUUUUGUGGAAAUUCUUUCGGAAUGGAAAUAAAUAAAAGUGGCGACGGGUGAGUAACACGUGAGCAACCUACCUUACACAGGGGGAUAGCCGUUGGAAACGACGAUUAAUACCGCAUGAAACCACAGAAUCGCAUGAUAUAGGGGUCAAAGAUUUAUCGGUGUAAGAAGGGCUCGCGUCUGAUUAGCUAGUUGGAAGGGUAAAGGCCUACCAAGGCGACGAUCAGUAGCCGGUCUGAGAGGAUGAACGGCCACAUUGGAACUGAGACACGGUCCAAACUCCUACGGGAGGCAGCAGUGGGGAAUAUUGCACGAUGGGGGGAACCCUGAUGCAGCGACGCCGCGUGAGCGAAGAAGGUUUUCGAAUCGUAAAGCUCUGUCCUAUGAGAAGAUAAUGACGGUAUCAUAGGAGGAAGCCCGGU
rnacentral:rRNA from 1 species